rnacentral:rRNA from 1 species
AUUGAACGCUGGCGGCAUGCCUUACACAUGCAAGUCGAACGGCAGCACGGAGCUUGCUCUGGUGGCGAGUGGCGAACGGGUGAGUAAUAUAUCGGAACGUACCCUGGAGUGGGGGAUAACGUAGCGAAAGUUACGCUAAUACCGCAUACGAUCUACGGAUGAAAGUGGGGGAUCGCAAGACCUCAUGCUCGUGGAGCGGCCGAUAUCUGAUUAGCUAGUUGGUAGGGUAAAAGCCUACCAAGGCAUCGAUCAGUAGCUGGUCUGAGAGGACGACCAGCCACACUGGAACUGAGACACGGUCCAGACUCCUACGGGAGGCAGCAGUGGGGAAUUUUGGACAAUGGGCGCAAGCCUGAUCCAGCAAUGCCGCGUGAGUGAAGAAGGCCUUCGGGUUGUAAAGCUCUUUUGUCAGGGAAGAAACGGUGGAGGCUAAUAUCCUCUGCUAAUGACGGUACCUGAAGAAUAAGCACCGGCUAACUACGUGCCAGCAGCCGCGGUAAUACGUAGGGUGCAAGCGUUAAUCGGAAUUACUGGGCGUAAAGCGUGCGCAGGCGGUUUUGUAAGUCUGAUGUGAAAUCCCCGGGCUCAACCUGGGAAUUGCAUUGGAGACUGCAAGGCUAGAAUCUGGCAGAGGGGGGUAGAAUUCCACGUGUAGCAGUGAAAUGCGUAGAUAUGUGGAGGAACACCGAUGGCGAAGGCAGCCCCCUGGGUCAAGAUUGACGCUCAUGCACGAAAGCGUGGGGAGCAAACAGGAUUAGAUACCCUGGUAGUCCACGCCCUAAACGAUGUCUACUAGUUGUCGGGUCUUAAUUGACUUGGUAACGCAGCUAACGCGUGAAGUAGACCGCCUGGGGAGUACGGUCGCAAGAUUAAAACUCAAAGGAAUUGACGGGGACCCGCACAAGCGGUGGAUGAUGUGGAUUAAUUCGAUGCAACGCGAAAAACCUUACCUACCCUUGACAUGGCUGGAAUCCCCGAGAGAUCGGGGAGUGCUCGAAAGAGAACCAGUACACAGGUGCUGCAUGGCUGUCGUCAGCUCGUGUCGUGAGAUGUUGGGUUAAGUCCCGCAACGAGCGCAACCCUUGUCAUUAGUUGCUACGAAAGGGCACUCUAAUGAGACUGCCGGUGACAAACCGGAGGAAGGUGGGGAUGACGUCAAGUCCUCAUGGCCCUUAUGGGUAGGGCUUCACACGUCAUACAAUGGUACAUACAGAGCGCCGCCAACCCGCGAGGGGGAGCUAAUCGCAGAAAGUGUAUCGUAGUCCGUAUUGUAGUCUGCAACUCGACUGCAUGAAGUUGGAAUCGCUAGUAAUCGCGGAUCAGCAUGUCGCGGUGAAUACGUUCCCGGGUCU